GAUGAACGCUGGCGGCGUGCAUAACACAUUCAAGUCGAACGGUGAAGUGACUUCGGUCACGGAUCAGUGGCGAACGGGUGAGUAACACGUAGAUAACCUGCCCUCAAGACUGGGAUAACCGAUGGAAACGUCCGCUAAUACCGGAUAGGUAAUAGGAAGGCAUCUUCUUAUUAUUAAAGAUGGGACACAUCGCUUGAGGAUGGAUCUGCGCUGCAUUAGCUAGUUGGUGGGGUAACGGCCCACCAAGGCGAUGAUGCAUAGCCGGCCUGAGAGGGUGAACGGCCACAUUGGGACUGAGACACGGCCCAG
rnacentral:rRNA from 1 species